AUUGAACGCUGGCGGCAGGCCUAACACAUGCAAGUCGAACGAGAGGCGGACGGGUGAGUAAUGUCUGGGAAACUGCCCGAUGGAGGGGGAUAACUACUGGAAACGGUAGCUAAUACCGCAUACCAUCGGAUGUGCCCAGAUGGGAUUAGCUUGUAGGUGAGGUAACGGCUCACCUAGGCGACGAUCCCUAGCUGGUCUGAGAGGAUGACCAGCCACACGUGAACUUAGACACGGUCCUGACUCCUACGGGAGGAAUCAGUGGGGAAGAUUGCAAUAUUGGCGCAAUCCUGAUGCAGCCAUGCCGCGUGUAUGAAGAAGGCCUUCGGGUUGUAAAGUACUUUAAGCGGGGAGGCGUUACCCGCAGAAGAAGCACCGGCUAACUCCGUGCCAGCAGCCGCGGUAAUAC
rnacentral:rRNA from 1 species